GUAGGGAAUAUUGGACAAUGGGCGAAAGCCUGAUCCAGCCAUGCCGCGUGAUAGAUGAAGGCCCUCUGGGUUGUAAAUAUCUUUUAUCUGGGAAGAAACUCCUCUAUUCUUAGAGGCCUGACGGUACCAGAGGAAUAAGCACCGGCUAACUCCGUGCCAGCAGCCGCGGUAAUACGGAGGGUGCAAGCGUUAUCCGGAUUCACUGGGUUUAAAGGGUGCGUAGGCGGGUUGAUAAGUCAGUGGUGAAAGCUCCGGGCUUAACUUGGAAACUGCCAUUGAUUCUGUCAAUCUUGAAUGUCGUAGAGGUAAGCGGAAUGUUGCAUGUAGCGGUGAAAUGCUUAGAUAUGUUACAGAACACCAAUUGCGAAGGCAGCUUACUAUGCGAUAAUUGACGCUGAGGCACGAAAGCGUGGGGAGCAAACAGGAUUAGAUACCCCAGUAGUCC
rnacentral:rRNA from 1 species